rnacentral:rRNA from 1 species
UACGUAGGGACCAAGCGUUGUUCGGAUUUACUGGGCGUAAAGGGCGCGUAGGCGGCGUGACAAGUCAGUUGUGAAAUCUCCGAGCUUAACUCGGAACGGUCAACUGAUACUGUUGUGCUAGAGUGCAGAAGGGGCAAUCGGAAUUCUUGGUGUAGCGGUGAAAUGCGUAGAUAUCGGAAGGAACAUCAGUGGCGAAAGCGGCUUCCUGGACCAGAACUGACGAUCAGGCACGAAAGCGUGGGGAGCAAACAGG